rnacentral:lncRNA from 1 species
UAGUACUUUUUCACUAGUCUAUAUAAUGGCAUGAGUUCUCCAAUAGUUGCUUGUUUAUGUGCGAAUGGCCUGUAUAAAGAUAUAACUAGAUAUGUCAAUAAAUAAUGUACAAAAUUUAGAGAGACCAACAAUAGAUACGCAAUUAACCAUUGCUACUGAUAAUUAUUAGCCAAUAAUCAUUAAAUAACCAUUCCAACUGUCAAUAAUAAAAACAUUCGACCAAUCUUAUAUAUAUAAUCUAAUAAGUUUUAUUUUGGAAAAAACAAAACAAAACAAACUUUAUUGAUAAAAUUAAAUUUAAGGAAUUAUUUUUAUCAGUAAAAAAUGUUUCCAUUCAUAAUCGUAUAAAAACUGGGUAUUACUAACGUAUUUGUAGAGUAUGAUUCCAGUAUGAGGGGGCAUUAAGGGGUUACAUAUACCUUCUUGGGGAGCAAGAGUAUAUGUGCACAAGGCCAGGCAACUUAUGAAUCAGAGGGGAACAACCAACAUCAGGCACACAUUCACGGAAACAAACCAUUGUGCAAACUACCUUGUUAGUUUGAGCAAGAAGAAUGAUCAGUUGAUUGUAUUUUUUGGUCCUUUUCGAGAGAACCUGGUGUAUUUUAUGAACCAGGAUGCCUUAGGCACUAUGUAUGAUUGAGUUUGAUUAUUUUUUCUUCAUAGUUACGUGUAAGGGUCUUGCCAAAUCCCAUCUUGUUUUUUGCAAAAAAGGUACACCAAAACUGAACCUUUUACUAAUAUUAGGCCUAAUAAACAAAAUCCUUUCUAAGUCCAUAACAGAUGGGCACAUAGUAAAUAACCAAAUAAAAAGAAAAAAACAACAUGUACAGUCAACCAAGUUUGUUUUAUUUAGAUCAACAAGAAUUGAAUUAAAAACAUGGACAAAACAGGGUAUCACAAAGUAGUUCCCCCAACAUAUGGCAUCCAGGGGUUUCAAUAUAAAUUUCCCAACCAUUGUUCAGUCCUAUGCAUUUACAUUGUUUCUGGAAAAAGAAAAGGAAAACCCAUUCCAAACCUGUAGGGAGUCAACUUGUCCUUUGAGCAGCUGCCAAUAUCUAUGAAGUAAAACUAGCGCUUUGGACCUCCUCCUUUCUUGACAUCCAAGGUCAAUCUGACUUUGAAAUUGGGCAAUUUUGAAAGCUGUAAUGUUUAUAAAUACACAAGAAAAAAUUUCACAAAACCGUUAACAUUAAAACCAAAGCAAUAUAAUCCAAAAAUUAAGAUUAAAUGUUGCCUACCAAAAAAAAUAAAAUAAAUAAAUGUAAACAAUAUUGCAGAAUCCAAAGAGCACAACUAUGAAACAAUAUGUAAAGACUGGAUGUAUGACAAUCUGGAGAAGCAUAUCAAGAUUCAAGAUAGAAAGAUUAGACCGGAGCAGGAGCUGCAUGUGCUAAGCAGUAAGAGACAGAGCUGAGUGUUGUUAGUAGACUAGUAGUACAGUAUUAAUAGCAAGGGUGGAAGAUCAAAGAGAGACAACGAUAUAAUGGUAAAAGGGAGAUGCCAGAUUCAAUACAGUUUAAUUCUUCCCAUGUUGGAUUUUGUUACCUCAUUUAAAACCCACAAAGUUUUCCUAAACCUAUGGUAAAAGGCAGGUGCCAGAUAAGGAAGCCCCACUUUUGAUCUUCUUCAGGAAAUUGCGUGCAACAAUGCAUAAGGAUAUAGCUGCAACUACAAAUGAAAUAGCAACCAGAUUCACAAAGAACCCCAAGUAAAAUUCAAUAACAGUUUAAACAAACCCCACAACACCUAAUUAGUCAUAUGAUAGUAAAAAGUAUCAAAA